UCACUUUAACCAUUAAAACCCUAAAACCAUUAAAACUAUUAGCUUCUUCUCCAUUCUCAAACUCCAGUCACCAUUUUCUUCCUCAUCCAUCUAAGUAUCGCGGAUGACAUCACCAUCUUCUCCACUCACCCAACAACCGCCGGCAUCAUCAUCUUCAUCUUACCAGCGUCGCCUCCUUGCCCACACCUAUUUGUCCUUGCCGUCGCCAUCACCCCCAGCUGCAUCUAGCAACAAAACCGCCGCCAAUAGCAACAACAGUCAUGACGGGUUGAACCACGUCUUCUAGUAGCAGCAGCGGUGGCCACCGUCGUCCUCCAGGAGAAAUAAUCGCCAGUCGUCUUUCAGCAACAACAACAAAAACAGCUGAUCCAUCCCCAAAGCUGCCUUCUCGUUUUCUCCAGCGACGAAUGAUUGAUGCAGCGGUGGAGGAAGAUUGAUGCAGCGGUGAUAGAAGAUUGUCCCUUCUAUGUAGGGAAAAGGAACAAAAAUUAAUUUACUGGGUUUCGAUUUUGAUUAUGCUGUUGAUAGUGGUGGUAAUGAUUGGGCGGCGACGGUGAUGAUGUGGGCGGCAGUGGUGACGAUGGGCGGCAAGAAAUUGACAAGAGGAAUGAAGAAGAUAAUGUAAAUUUGUAAUAAUUAAAAUUUGUAUUAGAAAAAUUAAGAUUAAUUAGAUUUAAUUUUUAGAGAA